rnacentral:rRNA from 1 species
CCUACGGGGGGCACCAGUGGGGAAUAUUGCACAAUGGGCGCAAGCCUGAUGCAGCCAUGCCGCGUGUAUGAAGAAGGCCUUCGGGUUGUAAAGUACUUUCAGCGGGGAGGAAGGUGUUGUGGUUAAUAACCUCAGCAAUUGACGUUACCCGCAGAAGAAGCACCGGCUAACUCCGUGCCAGCAGCCGCGGUAAUACGGAGGGUGCAAGCGUUAAUCGGAAUUACUGGGCGUAAAGCGCACGCAGGCGGUCUGUCAAGUCGGAUGUGAAAUCCCCGGGCUCAACCUGGGAACUGCAUUCGAAACUGGCAGGCUAGAGUCUUGUAGAGGGGGGUAGAAUUCCAGGUGUAGCGGUGAAAUGCGUAGAGAUCUGGAGGAAUACCGGUGGCGAAGGCGGCCCCCUGGACAAAGACUGACGCUCAGGUGCGAAAGCGUGGGGAGUAAGCAGGAUUAGAUACCCUCGUAGUC